rnacentral:rRNA from 1 species
GACGAACGCUGGCGGCGUGCUUAACACAUGCAAGUCGAACGGAAAGGCCCUGCUGUUGUGGGGUGCUCGAGUGGCGAACGGGUGAGUAACACGUGAGUAACCUGCCCUUGACUUUGGGAUAACUUCAGGAAACUGGGGCUAAUACCGGAUAGGAGCUCCUGCUGCAUGGUGGGGGUUGGAAAGUUUCGGCGGUUGGGGAUGGGCUCGCGGCUUAUCAGCUUGGUGGUGGGGUAGUGGCUUACCAAGGCUUUGACGGGUAGCCGGCCUGGGAGGGUGACCGGCCACAUUGGGACUGAGAUACGGCCCAGACUCCUACGGUAGGCAGCGGUGGGGAAUAUUGCACAGUGGGCGGAGGCCUGAUGCAGUAACGCCGCGUGCGGGAUGACGGCAAUCGGGUUGUAAUCCGCUUUCGCCUGUGACGAGGCGUGAGUGACGGUAACGGAUAAAGAAGCACCGGCUAACUACGUG